GGGACAUAAACUGAAAAAAAAAACUGAAGCUAGAGAGAAGUUUAUUGUACAAGAAUAAGGCGUCCAGCCUCACCAAUACCAUCAUCAUCGACCUCCUCCUCAUCAGGGUCUUUCGGAACCGUGACCACCAGUUCACCGUCAGCAAAAUCAGCGGUAGCCAACUCCGGCAGAGUUGACGGCGGAAGACGGAAUCGCCACAAAUCAAGCUCAAACUCACCCAAAGACGAAUCCAAAACAUUAUCCCCUCGAAUUACAAUCUUAGUAACACCCGGAUAG
rnacentral:misc_RNA from 1 species